CUAGACAAAUGGGCCUCGAUCCCAUAAAAAUUUA
rnacentral:tRNA from 1 species